rnacentral:rRNA from 1 species
GAUGAACGCUGGCGGCGUGCCUAAUACAUGCAAGUCGAACGCUUCACUUCGGUGAAGAGUGGCGAACGGGUGAGUAAUACAUAAGUAACCUGGCAUCUACAGGGGGAUAACUGAUGGAAACGUCAGCUAAGACCGCAUAGGUGUAGAGAUCGCAUGAACUCUAUAUGAAAAGUGCUACGGGACUGGUAGGUGAUGGACGUAUGGCGAGUUAGCUGGUUGGUAGGGUAACGGCCUACCAAGGCGACGAUGGGUAGCCGACCUGAGAGGGUGACCAGCCACACUGGGACUGAGACACGGCCCAGACUCCUACGGGAGGCAGCAGUAGGGAAUUUUCGGCAAUGGGGGAAACCCUGACCGAGCAACGCCGCGUGAAGGAAGAAGUAAUUCGUUAUGUAAACUUCUGUCAUAGAGGAAGAACGGUGGAUAUAGGGAAUGAUAUCCAAGUGACGGUACUCUAUAAGAAAGCCACGGCUAACUACGUGCCAGCAGCCGCCGUAA